rnacentral:rRNA from 1 species
CUACGGGCUGCACCAGUGGGGAAUAUUGCACAAUGGAGGAAACUCUGAUGCAGCAACGCCGCGUGGAGGAUGACACUUUUCGGAGCGUAAACUCCUUUUAUAUAGGAAGAAGAUGACGGUACUAUAUGAAUAAGCGCCGGCUAGACUCCGUGCCAGCAGCCGCGGUAAUACGGAGGGCGCAAGCGUUACUCGGAAUCACUGGGCGUAAAGGGCGUGUAGGCGGAUUAAAAAGUCAGAAGUGAAAUCCUAUAGCUUAACUAUAGAACUGCUUCUGAAACUCUUAAUCUAGAAUAUGGGAGAGGUAGAUGGAAUUUCUGGUGUAGGGGUAAUAUCCGUAGAGAUCAGAAGGAAUACCGAUUGCGAAGGCGAUCUACUAGAACAUUAUUGACGCUGAGACGCGAAAGCGUGGGGAGCAAACAGGAUUAGAUACCCUUGUAGUC